rnacentral:tRNA from 1 species
GGAGGGCUAGUCCUAAUUGGUAAGGCAGCGGUCUUGAAAACCGCCGCGCAGAAAUGCGCUUACAGGUUCGAGUCCUGUGCCCUCCGCC